rnacentral:rRNA from 1 species
AUUGAACGCUGGCGGCAGGCCUAACACAUGCAAGUCGAGCGGAUGAAGGGAGCUUGCUCCUGGAUUCAGCGGCGGACGGGUGAGUAAUGCCUAGGAAUCUGCCUGGUAUUGGGGGAUAACGUCCGGAAACGGGCGCUAAUACCGCAUACGUCCUGAGGGAGAAAGGGGGGGAUCUUCGGACCUCACGCUAUCAGAUGAGCCUAGGUCGGAUUAGCUAGUUGGUGGGGUAACGGCCUACCAAGGCGACGAUCCGUAACUGGUCUGAGAGGAUGAUCAGUCACACUGGAACUGAGACACGGUCCAGACUCCUACGGGAGGCAGCAGUGGGGAAUAUUGGACAAUGGGCGAAAGCCUGAUGCAGCCAUGCCGCGUGUGUGAAGAAGGUCUUCGGAUUGUAAAGCACUUUUAGUUGGGAGGAAGGGCAGUAAGUUAAUCCCUUGCUGUUUUGACGUUACCAACAGAAUAAGCACCGGCUAACUUCGUG